GUGAAAGGCCAAUCAAACUUCGUGAUAGCUGGUUCUCUCCGAAAUAUAUUUAGGUAUAGCGUUGUGUCGUAAUAUAAGGGGGUAGAGCACUGAAUGGGCUAGGGCAUACACCAAUGUACCAAACCCUAUCAAACUCCGAAUACCUUAUAUGUAAUCACAGCAGUCAGGCGGCGAGUGAUAAAAUCCGUCGUCAAGAGGGAAACAACCCAGACUACCAGCUAAGGUCCCUAAAUCUUACUUAAGUGGAAAACGAUGUGAAGUUACUUAAACAACCAGGAGGUUGGCUUAGAAGCAGCCAUCCUUUAAAGAAAGCGUAAUAGCUCACUGGUCUAGUGAUUUUGCGCGGAAAAUAUAACGGGGCUAAAGUAAGUACCGAAGCUGUAGACUUGCGCACAACUUAGAUUAUUUAAGUUUAGAAUAUGAGAAACUAAGUUAUAUGUUUAGUUAUAUUUUUACUGAUUUUUAUAGAGUAAAGAUAGAAAUAAAACUUAGUAAAAUCAGUAAAAAUAUUCUUAGACUAAAGUUAAGUAGUUUAAGUUGUGUGCAAGUGGUAGGAGAGCGUUCUAUUUGCGUCGAAGGUAUACCGGUAAGGAGUGCUGGAGCGAAUAGAAGUGAGCAUGCAGGCAUGAGUAGCGAUAAUUAAUGUGAGAAUCAUUAACGCCGUAAACCCAAGGUUUCCUACGCGAUGCUCGUCAUCGUAGGGUUAGUCGGGUCCUAAGUCGAGUCCGAAAGGGGUAGACGAUGGCAAAUUGGUUAAUAUUCCAAUACCAACAUUAGUGUGCGAUGGAAGGACGCUUAGGGCUAAGGGGGCUAGCGGAUGGAAGUGCUAGUCUAAGGUCGUAGGAGGUUAUACAGGCAAAUCCGUAUAACAAUACUCCGAGAACUGAAAGGCUUUUUGAAGUCUUCGGAUGGAUAGAAGAACCCCUGAUGCCGUCGAGCCAAGAAAAGUUUCUAAGUUUAGCUAAUGUUGCCCGUACCGUAAACCGACACAGGUGGGUGGGAUGAGUAUUCUAAGGCGCGUGGAAGAACUCUCUUUAAGGAACUCUGCAAAAUAGCACCGUA
rnacentral:rRNA from 1 species